AUUUUUGAAGAUGCAAAUUCACUCUUCUUCAAGCAUGUUUUUUAACUUAAAGCUGCCCAAACUUCACUCAAGCUGUUGGAGAAGGCCGUGAUAAUAAAGAAAUUAUAGGUUCUCUUAAGAGUCUAUUUAGGCAUGUGAACAGCCUACAAAAAUGUCAAAACUCCAUUUAAAUCAGGACAAGCUGCAAAUGGUGUCUUAUCUUCUAGGAUGUCAAAUAACAUCCGAGGAUUAAAUUCAUUUCUUGGUUGUUGGAUCCCAGAGGAAAACUUGGCAGCAUCCAGAACAUUUUUUGCAGUUAUUGGUUGUUGGAUCCCAGAGGAAAACUUGGCAGCAGCCACAACAUGAAAAUUUAAGGUCAAACUUUUGGUUCGCUGGUUUCGAAUUUUGACUUGUCGACAUUUUGAGGCGGCCACCAGAGAGCUCCUCCGACAUUUAAGGAGGAUACGUUUACGAGGGCGAUGUGUCUGCUUAGAUCGAUUUGAGCCACAUCUUUGGUAUCAAAACGUCACCUGCAGGCCUGUGGUCUAGGAAGGAUUGCCAAACAAACAAGGGCUAAAAUUGAACCAAAUGGCAGGGGACUUAAAAAUGUUCUUGAUUAUGAGAAGAUCGCACGUUUGGAUGACAGUUUAGAUGGGUUAUGGUAUGAUCCAUAAUGGCGUGGCAGUAUUUGAGUCAUCAUGUGGGCGUGUGGUGGGCUGCUUUGAAUAAUUUUUCUUUAAUGAACCUAUACUUUUCUUUUUUACCUCUCUAAAAUGGUCAGAAGUGAAAGGAAAACAAAAAUAAUGAAGAAUAUGAAGCUAAAUGUUAGAUAUGAAUUGUCUUAAUUAUUAUGGAUUUAUGGGCCGUGAUUCAAUAUGAGAAGAAUAGAAGAUAUUUUUACAAUAUUGUAUGAUUACAAUAUAAAUAAAU